rfam:Solanum lycopersicum cultivar Heinz 1706 chromosome 3, whole genome shotgun sequence.
GUCACUUCUGAGACAUUCAAUAAAAUUGGAAAGAUACAGAAAAGUUUAACAUGGCUUCCGAGCAAAGAUGACAUACACAAAUCGAUAAAUGAUCCAACAGAAG